AGUGAACGCUGGCGGCAGGCCUAACACAUGCAAGUCGAGCGGCAGCGCGGGGGCAACCCUGGCGGCGAGCGGCGGACGGGUGAGGAAUUCGUCGGAAUCUGCCUUUUUGGGGGGGAGAACGUAGGGAAACUUACGCUAAUACCGCAUACGUCCUACGGGAGAAAGUGGGGGACCGCAAGGCCUCACGCAGAAGGAGGAGCCGACGACCGAUUAGCUAGUUGGUGGGGUAAAGGCCCACCAAGGCGACGAUCGGUAGCUGGUCUGAGAGGAUGAUCAGCCACACUGGGACUGAGACGCGGCCCAGACUCCUACGGGCGGCCGCAGUUGGGACUGUUGGCCGCUGGGCGCAAGCCUGCUCCAGCCAUGCCGCGUGUGUGAAGAAGGCCUUCGGGUUGUAAAGCACUUUUGUCCGGAAAGAAAUCCCUGGAGCUAAUACCUUCGGGGAUGACGGUACCGGAAGAAUAAGCACCGGCUAACUUCGUG
rnacentral:rRNA from 1 species